UUUUUUCUACUUUUAGUGUGCUAUCUUUAAGCUUUAUUUUAAUAAUUGUUAUUAACAAGUCUGUCAAAUGAACAACUCAGUAAGGAUUCUGUAGUGUUCUGAACUCUGAACUCUGAACAGAAACAUUUGCUGUUACUUUGACAAAACCACAGGCAAUUUUGAGAAAAACCACAGCCAAUUUUGACAAAACCACAGAACAAAUGUAACUUCAACAAGA